rnacentral:miRNA from 1 species
GAGGUGGGAGGAUUGCUUGAGCCAGGGAGGUGGAGGUUGCAGUGAGCUGAGAUCAUGCCACUGCACUCCAGCCUGAGUGACAGAGUGAGACC